rnacentral:rRNA from 1 species
GAUGAACGCUGGCGGCGUGCCUAAUACAUGCAAGUCGAGCGAACGGACGAGAAGCUUGCUUCUCUGAUGUUAGCGGCGGACGGGUGAGUAACACGUGGAUAACCUACCUAUAAGACUGGGAUAACUUCGGGAAACCGGAGCUAAUACCGGAUAAUAUUUUGAACCGCAUGGUUCAAAAGUGAAAGACGGUCUUGCUGUCACUUAUAGAUGGAUCCGCGCUGCAUUAGCUAGUUGGUAAGGUAACGGCUUACCAAGGCAACGAUGCAUAGCCGACCUGAGAGGGUGAUCGGCCACACUGGAACUGAGACACGGUCCAGACUCCUACGGGAGGGAGCAGUAGGGAAUCUUCCGCAAUGGGCGAAGGCCUGACGGAGCAACGCCGCGUGAGUGAUGAAGGUCUUCGGAUCGUAAAACUCUGUUAUUAGGGAAGAACAUAUGUGUAAGUAACUGUGCACAUCUUGACGGUACCUAAUCAGAAAGCCACGGCUAACUACGUG